AGCCCAGCACCAGCCCGAACCACUCGUACACCGUCUCCUUGUCGAUAAAAUCAACCAUGACUAUCGCAGCAGAUAUACCAAGCUGA
rnacentral:lncRNA from 1 species